AUGGGGUUGCUCCCUGGUGAGUGCCGGAGGCCCUGGGUUCCAGCGGUGUAACGAGCAUCAUCCCUCCGGCCAGACCCCUGAAGACUCAACCCUGUUGGCCCCUCCCUGUCUGGAGAUGUGCUAGGAGAAGCAGGAGGAGUGCUUGAACAGACAUGCUGGACCUGCGUUCUCCAGCCCCAGAACAUUCCAGCCUCGCUCCUUCGGCAGACACCAGAGUGACUUCACUUUCCUGCGCACUGGAUUCCCUGGCCCUUCACGUACAGGAGGUGGCGGCCCUGGGGGCUGGGGACGUGUCCUUGGAGAGCUGACCUGGCCAGUGCUUCUUACCCCAGGACUCGGCUGCCUUGACCGCCACUUGGGAACAGCCACCCACAGCUCCCAGCGUGGCCGGUCCUUCCCUGCGGGAAGCCGGAGCCCCCCAGGACUUCCCUGUGCCCCU